rnacentral:lncRNA from 1 species
CCAGGUCUGGCUACCGGGAUGAAACCCCGUGCACUCUCUAACCGGCGAACGGCGGCGCCGCCUCGCGACCGCGCAGGACGGAUAGCCAGACGCGACCGUGGCGCCACCGUCAGGUGAUCACCGUACCCUCGCCUCCGGUUCCUUGCUCUUUACCCCGCGCGCGUCUGCUGCAUUUCAACUUGCUCGUCGCGCCGCGCGCUGCAGGCGCCGCCGCCGCGCGAGUGGUCUGUUCCGGUGAUGAUGGUGCCUAUAAGCCAUUGAAAGAACGUUGGAAGACAAAUCUCCUGGCAGCAUUCAGAAACUCUGUAGGUCAUUUGUCUCGGUAUGGGUAUGGGUGCCUCGUGCUGGUCUGCCCCUGCUGCUGCUAGGUUUCAGGAUUUAGCCGGCAUACCACAUCACAUUGUAGGGUUGCGACUUGUGGUGGACGAGAUCACCACAGAGACCUAUUGAUGGGUCGGGCCUCAGCAUUUGGUGGCAGUUUUUGAUGUUGUAACUACCCACUCUGCAUGUCCUAUUUUCAGUCCGUUUUGUUCGUGAUGUUCUCUGAAUCAUUUGCUUGCUCGUCCCACUGCUUGGACCAUCGAAUUGGCCGAGUUCCUCGAUUUUACCCGUGUUGGUUCACUAGUCAGUACUUUUGUUUCGGCAAUUCGGCCACGGUGACCCUACGAUAUAUUGUCUCCUACUAGUGAUGGCCAAAAUGUUUUCAGUUUCUUCUGCUCUUUCUGUGCACAGUUUAGAAGGAGAAUGUUGGAGAUCGAUGAACCGAGCAAACUGCUCAUUAUCAUUACUCAUGGCACACACAGUUUGUGUUGCCAAGAGGGAAAGCGGAGACGAAUUACAAGAUUUCCGUAUACCGGAGUGUCACAGUCUGUAGUCUGUACAAAAGAACUAAUGAGGCCAGUCAGAACAGAACCAGUGGCUCUGUUGCAUAGACUAUACAGUCUACUAAUCUACUUGUGUAUUGCAGCAUAAUUUGCUAUGUACUCCACUAGAUAGACACAUUCCCCCGCAAAAAAUAAAAUACAUUGCUAUCUACAUUGUGAACUAGCUGAAUUUUGCCUCUGAAGGUUAGCAUCUAUGCUGUUCAGGAAAGCUACUACCUCCUGUAUUGCUGGCCUCAUUCCAGGAUUGUGGUUGACGCACUGGCAAGCAACUUCAACCACCUUCAGCAUCUGCUCUUCAUAUCCUGUGCCUCGAAGCGCUGGAUCGAGUACUUCAAUCUGCUCCCCUUUGGAUCUCAUCUCCUGUACCCACUUGACAAGCUCUUUUGACCUGGGACAGAUAUGAACAGGCCGCCUCCCCGUGACAAGUUCAAGCAGGACCACUCCAAAACUGUACAUAUCACCUCUCAGUGUAGCCACCCAUCCUUGCCCGUACUCUGGGGGGAUGUAACCGAGAGUACCGACCAACUCAGUGGUAACAUGAGUUCUGUUGGGAAAGAUCAAUCUGGAGAGCCCAAAAUCUGCAACAUAAGCUUUGAAGUCUUUAUCUAGUAGUAUGUUGCUCGACUUGAUGUCACGGUGAACAAUGUGAGGCUUGCAUCCAUCAUGGAUGUAAGAUAGACCCUGGCUUGCUCCUUGUGCAAUCUUCAGCCGGAUCGGCCAGUCAAGAAAUGGGUUGUCAUCGGUGUCCCUGUUGUGAAGCCAAUCAUCCAGGCUGCCGUUCUCCAUGUAGGAGUAUAUCAGUAGUCUUGAAUCUCCCUGUAUGCAGUAGCCCCAGAAUGGUACAAGAUUGUCAUGCUGCGCCAUGGAGAGUGCAUCAACCUCUGCACUGAAUUCCCUUUCCAUCAGACACAUUUCGCUGUUAAGCUUUUUUAUGGCGACCUUUGAGCCAUCAGGUAGCUCAGCCUUGUAGACCAGCCCAUAACCUCCACAGCCAAUGAUAUGAUCCUUGUGAAAGUUCUUUGUAGCCUUCAGGAGAUCGGCGACGGUGAGUUUGUUUUGUUCUCCCUUGCCUCGUGGAACCAUCACCAAGGAGUAUUCUGAAUUGAGGUUUGAAGAUGUCGCCUCUAUGUCAUUGUUGUUGUUGCUCCACCUUUUGGUCAAGAAACUUGUGCCCCUGAGCAAGAAAAGGAGACGAGCCAGCAAGAAAAGAAUGGCCACCCCUCCAAAAAAUACACCAAAUGCAAGUGCAAAAACACCCUUCUUUUUCUUUCUUCUCUGGGUGAUCGGAGGUGUUUUUGCUGAGCUGCAAUGGUUUACAAGCAUAUGACCGCACAAUUUUGGGUUGCCAUCAAAGCUAGAAUUUGGAAACGUGCUAAGCUGGCCCACAGCUGGAAUAGACCCUUCCAGGUCAUUAUUGGAAAUGUUGAAUUUUGAAAGGAAGUGCAGAUUGCUUAAUGCAGCUGGAAUUUUACCAAUGAGAUGAUUACCAGACAAGUCGAGCGUCUGCAGGCUCGUGAGGUUGCAGAUCGCUUCUGGGAUCUCUCCAGAUAGUUGGUUAGAGCUCAGGUUGAGGAAAAUGAGUCCUUUCAACUGACCAAUCUUCUGAGGUAUCAUGCCAGUGAAGUUAUUUAUCCCUAGAUUCAGUACUUUGGGAAAAGCACUGGGCAUGAGAUAUUGCCUAUAUGGACUCUUAUUAUAAACAGGCAGCUCAAAGACCUUUGGUGCAGUUUUGUCUGACUUUAGCAUUGGCAUCUCCAUUAAGUCACUGGGAAUUUCCCCUGCAAGCCUGUUGUUUGUUAUGUCUAGAUAGAAGAGCAAGUUUAAGCUGCUGAUCCAGUCAGGUAUUGACCCAGUGAGGUGAUUGUUGUGUAAAAACAGCAUCCCCAAGUUGGGUAGCUUUGAUAACCAAUGAGGAAUUGUUCCAGACAAUGAACAAUCAUUCAUGGAAAAGACCUGGAGAUUGUCAAAACCAUCAGUAUUGACAUCCUGUGGCAUGGCCUCAUGCAUGAAGUUGAAUCCAAGAAGAAGGGUGGUGAGGCUCUUGCAGCUCCUAAGGAUCUGAAGUGUUCUUGUGAUAUCUGUAAGGUUGUUUUUAGCAAGUGAUAGGAACGAGAGAGACUUCAGAUUACCUAUUCUUUCUGACAACUGGCCAUGGAAAUUGUUACUGGAUAGCCGUAGUGCAGUCAGCCUACUGCAGGAGUAUAUGCUUUCUGGAACUGUGCCUGUUAAAUUGUUGUAGAGAAGAUCUAAAACUUUUAGAUUGGGCAGGCCUGUGAAGUUGACCUUGGUAAGUUCUCCACUGAAGUUGUUGCUCUUGAGGUCAAUUGUUACGAGAUUAGUGCAGUUGCUGAGAGCUGAUGGCAGCUCCCCUGACAUGUUAUUGUGCUCCAAAUGCAGCUCCUCCAAUCUCUUGAGGUCACCUAUGGACUCUGGAAUACUGCCGCUGAGCUCAUUCCCCCCAAGAUCAAUGGUGACCAGAUUCGUGAGCUUGCCGAUGCCAUUGAUAGCUCCUUCUAAACCAUUGCUAGGUAAAGAGAGGUGCUCUAGCGAGGUAACUUUGAAGAGCCCGUCGGGAAGAGUCCCAACGAGGUUGUUGUAUCCAGCGCCAAACAGUUUCAGCGCGGAGCAGUUACUGAGCCCUGGAGGGAUGUUUCCACUGAAAUCGUUAAAACUGAGGUCGAGCACCGCCAAAGAUGGCGCGCUCACACAGGGGGCAGUUGGUAUCCGCCCGGUAAGGCUGUUGGUGCUGGCAUUGAGCGCGACCAGGCUCUUCAUCCCCUCCCAUAUAGCGGAUGGAAACCUUCCUGUAAACAGGUUGCUCGAGAUGUUGAGUACCUGCAGAGGCCGCGCAGGUGUCGAUGGUGGCAGAUCGCUCAGCCCUCCUGUGAGAAGGUUGAAGCUGACGUCAAGGACGACGAUGCUGCUCGACGACACCAACUCCAGCGGCAAGCCGCCGGACAGCGAGUUGCGCGACAGGUUGAGGUGCAGGAGGCCGGUGAGGUUGCCAAGCGAGGACGGCGAGAUGGACCCCUCGAGGCCCCGAGAAGCCAGCGAAACAUCGGUGACCGCCCCAUCGGGACCGGCGCAGGCGAUCCCCUCCCACGAGCAGCAGUCCGUGUCCCUCCGCCACGCCGCCGCGAGCCCGUCGUCCCGCGAGAACCCAGCGAGGAGCCGGAGGAGGGAGCUCCUCUCCUGCUCCGUGCAGGAGCUUGCCGGAGAGGCCAAGGAGGCGAGGAGGAGCAGCAGCAGGAGCGGCAGGGGCCUGCUGUCCGGGCAACGGUGUGGCUGCAUCUGCAUGGCUUUGUGAGGAAGCUGGCAAGGGGGAGCCAAUGAGAAUGGGCGGGCUGGUGAAGAAAGAGCACGAGAGGAACGGGGGCGCUCCUUUUUGUUUGAUGAUAUCUCUCUCUCUCUCGCUCUCGGGCCAAGGAAAAAGAAAUGGGUCAAGGAUUGGCUGCUAUUGCCCUAUCCGGCACAACGCCGUCCACGUUCACACCUUUGACAUUUUCGGCAGGGAUCGCCUGUCGGUAAGUUGACCUCGCGUUCAUGGUAGUUAGCAGUCAUCCAUGAUUAGUUACUUGUCCUAACCGGGCGGGGCGUGUUAAUCUACUACUUACUAGCAGUCGUUGUUGAUCAAGUCCUUGAUGGAUGGUCUGUUAUGUUAAUUCCGCGUUUAAUUUACUUGACCUGACAUGAAUAACAUGGCGGCUCUCCUAACAGGUAACUGGAUUGUUGCCUCAUCUUGUCCUGCUGUGUUAUUUGAUGAUGAAUCCCUUUGGCCCAUGAUAGAUCCAAGCCGGUUUACAAUGUGUGAUGGGCGAGGCAGCAGCAUAUAUAGAGAGGGAAGUGGUGCAUGGUUGAAGGCCGCCGGCAACGUCGCGGUCAACGCGUGUAUGCGGCAUGGUUUUGUAUAAAGAGCAUCCAAGUGGAGGGCGAUGGUGAUUUCGAGCAAGGCGACACGCCGAGGCCGAACCUGAGCAGAGCAGAUAAGGAGCGGAGAUACACGCUGCCUUUUGGUAAGCAAGGAUACUACUCUAGUACUCCGUAAUAUAGGUUAGCUACUCCAGCGACCUAUAUUACGGUACAGAGGGAGUAGUAUUUUCUACGCAUUUCUCUGCGUUUUUAGACUCAAGUUGGGACACUUGCUUCUUGUUUAGUUUCGUGGCUCUGCAUCAUCAGUCGCGGUCGGCAUAACGAAUAUCCUGCGCAAAUGGGCCAACAUUGUUUACUUUGCAGGCACCUAAGCGAGCUGUGCUUGGUCCGCCCACUUGUCAAUAGCUAGUCAACUUGACAGGUGCCUGCCUGCUGGCUCCUGUCUGGACUGUCUUGUGACUUUGUGAGAGAAAACAAACGGGGGCUGAUUUUACUUGUUCUUUUUUCAUACAAAAGGACUGCUUUCAGUUAUCGAAAAAGAAAGAAAGCAGCUUCUUUUUUUCUUGAAUACUCGUGCGUACUAUAUAUUAAAGAAGAAGAGCCAAGACCGCCCAUACAACACCUUGCGUCAACGUGUUACCCCUAGAGGUUAGCAUCAACAUCCAUCGUGACAACACCAGCGACAACCCACCUUGCCCAAACUCAACCCACACAAUGACCAAGAGGACAAACACAGAGUAUGCGGACUAUGUCUCCUGAACCAAACACCUCAAAACACCAUAAAAACACCUAACCUGACUAGAAAAAUGCACUCCCCACUCUUGGUGUCUAGAGGAUCAGCAAGCGGACAGCGGGAGCUAGCCUGACUUGAAGAAGACGUCGUCGAAGAUGUGUCGAUGAUGGAGUACAUAGCGCCCCGGAUGCUCAUACCCACAUCAACAACCCAUACAUGGCAACAUGGCACCCCAAGUAUCACCGCCGAAGCAAGUGGGACAACCGACCAGUUGCUCCUCCGGACGCACCCCGGACACCUACGUAAUGCCUUCAAGAAGGGGAUGGUGCCGACAAGCCGCCGCUGCCUGGUUCGGUGAACCGAGCCUAGGUUUCCCCCCGCUGAUUGAACAAGUGAUGGACAUGGUUGUGGCAACACCGCAGGGAGGAGACAACGCCCACAAGCGACGCCAUUACCCGCAGCCGCGGUCGUGCCAGAUUUCUCCUCAGUCACGUCCAUCAAAUUCCGGAGCACCGCAAACUGGAAGGGAGGGCAAAGUUGCCACCUUGAACUAUCAUCGUGGAGAGGGGGGAGGGAGCCGGAUGUCACCGCGCCGCCAAACAACAAGUCCACCACAACCCUUGAUCGAGGGAGACCAGGACCUUCAUCUGCCCGCAACAGCCCCUGGUCGAGGGAGUAGGGCUUUUUUGUUUGAAACAUGAGGUUCCACACAUGAAUGCACACGUGCACGCACAAACCAACAUAACAAUUCUAGCAAACCAACUUGUAAUUGAAUGGUUAGGAGGAAUGAAGGAGUUUAAGUCUCAUAUUUGACAUUGAUAUUUGCAUUUUUUUCGGAUUUAUUCCAGGUUAGACAUGGGUAUGGGCAGCCCAGCCCGAACCUGGCAUGAAAAACCCGAACCGGGCUCGGGGUUGAAUUUUCAGCCUGUCGUGUACUUUGGGUCGGGCUCGGGCUUGAAAAAAUAGGUAGUUUACACGGAGGCCUGACCCGUCUCGUGCCGAAAUUGCUCUUUUUAAUCCCUUUGGGUCCAUUUUUUUUCGCUGGGCCGGGUUGAGCUUGGGCCUAGACUUUGCCCAUUGGGCUUUUAGCCCAAAACCCGGUCCGACCCGUGGAAUUCCCAGGUUUAUUUCAGGCUUUUUGAUGAUGUUCGUUCGGUGUGGGGAGACGUUUCUGUCGACUACAAAGUCGUUUGUGGUGACUUCGUCAAUACUAAAAUGAUGUGCCGGCUUAUUAUUUUUAAGAUGCUUAUAGGGGUAGGGUGUACGUGUGUUCGUCAGGAUAAGUUCGUAAGUGUAUAUUUAUGUAUGUGAACAAUUUUAAUUGUACUCUUUUUCUUUUAAGCGUAGACUUCAAUUGUACUUUGUUAAAAAGAAAAAGAAAAACGAAUAAUUCUACUUCGUCAGGCAUGUAGAACGUUAUAAAGAGAUGUUUGGUCUCCGACGGGAGGGAGUGCGAUUCGGAGAAAGGAUUGCUAUGGUGCAUGGAUUUCUCUUUUUUUUUUAGGAUGGUGCAUGGAUGUGGCCAUAUGGGUUUGGUAUCUUGUGGUCGGCUGCCUGUGAGGUGCUUUUCUGGUGGCCAUUUUUCUCACCUGUGACAGCGACUUUCUUUUUGCCGCCUUGACUCUGGUACUCCCUUCGUUCUUAAAUAUAACUUUUUUAGUGAUUUUAUGAAAAGAUUAUUUUUUCAUUUUUAAAUAUAAGUUUUUUAAAGGUUUCAUUCGUUUUUUGACGGUGCUACGGUGGGCUUACGUCGGCCUGAACCAAAUUAAUAUUAGUACAGAUAAUUACAACGGGCGGGGAGGGGGGAGUGGCGGCGAGGGGAUUGCUAGGAGGAAAUAGAAGCGAAAAAAAGAGAAGGAAGAAAGAGAAAAGUUACAAUCUCUCAGAAAGGUGAAACAACAUUGUGCACCAAUCCCGUAGAAGAAGCGUUGACUGCUCCUUUGAGCAUCUGUUCGACCAUAGCAUUAUGUCGUCUGCGGCCAUUCGGGCAAUAAGGUGGAUAGGUUGUAGCUCUCCCCUGAAAACCAUUGCGUUUCUUCUUUUCCAAAUAUUUCAUAGGAUAGCAGUGAUUAUUGUGGAGCGAGUCUUGUUAGCAGGGUGAGACCCCCAAAGCUGAGUAAAGUCCGAUGGAGGGGAGGCAGAAAUAGCAGAGAGCUCCUGCCACAGUGGUCCCAGAUGGCUGCAAAGAAGGAAUAGGUGUUAUGCUGAUUCCGAAGCAGGACAGAAAGGACAGGAGCAAGAGUCCAUUAGCCCCCUUUUGAAGCGUCUUUCGUUGGUGAAGAGUCGAUUCUUGCAUGAAAGUCAGAGGAACAUUAUGCAUUUAUUGGACGCAUAGUUCCUCCAGAUUACCGACGCGAAGGGAUCGAGAGGUUUGUUGGCCCAAACUGCCUUAUAUGCGGAGUUGCAAGUUAGAGGCUUGCCGUCGAUACGUCCCCUUCGUUUGUCCUGAACCUGCACAUUCAAGGUUUCACUCGUAGACUACAUACGGAUGUAUAUAGACAUAUUUUAGAUUAUAAAUUCACUUAUUUUGUUUUAUAUGUAGACUCCUAGUGAAAUCUAUUAAAAGAUUUAUAUUUAGGAAUGAAAGAAGUACAUACGAAGUAAAAUAAGUGAAUUUAUAUUUAAAAAUAUGUUUAUAUACAUUCAUAUACACUAGUGGGGACGGGGCCUUUAGCCCCGACCCGUAAGGGGCUUUAGUCCCGGUUCACCAACCGGGACUAAAGGGGAGGGACUAAAGGCCUAACCUUUAGUCCCGACCCUGUUACAAGCCGGGUCUAAAGGUGCUCCACGUGGGCACCUCGUAGCGCCCCAGGGGCAGGACCUUUAGUCCCGGUUCGUUACACGGCCCGGGACUAAAGAUUUUCAGAUUUUGCUGGUUUUUGGGUUUUUUUUUAAUGAAAUUAUUUUUGGGUUUUAGGGUUUUAUGGUUUAGGUGUCUGGGAGAUUAACGUGAUGCCUCGUUUGAUGUUCGGGAAUUAGUUUUCAUAUAAUUUAAAUAGAAAUAAUUAUGCAUAUAUAUAUAAGGUUAACUUAUCUUACAAGCGAGCAUAUAUAUACAAUUAUAUGGAGAUCUGAAUUAUCGGGACUAGAGCCCGUCUAUUCGAUUACAUGGACGAACAUCAAUAAUGGCCCCUAGCUACACUAAAUCGUCCUUUGUCAUCUAUAACUUCCGUCCUCAGAAAGGUCGCAAGCUCCUCUGCAACAGCAAUCGCGCGUUGCUCUGGUAGGACCUUCGUCGUCAUGGCCGUGUGCUAUAUAAGAAGAGGACAUGAAUAUGAAUAUCAAUCAUGAUAACAAAGAAUGACGGGUAAAAAUAGAGGUGUGAAUGUUCAUUGCUUACGUCGAAUCUGUGAUCCUUGUGCUGAGAGGUAAACGUGCGAAUGGUCUCGCAAACAUAGUAUCCGCAUAGAUGCGUUCCCCGUGGCUGCUGGUCGCACUUUACGAGAAUAGAAUAUAUAUAAUCAAAAUAAUAUUCUAGCAUCAUAAAUGUAUUAAAGAUUAGUAGAAGUAUAUCAUACUACUACUUACCUGAGCCGCUCUAAAGGUCAGCUUCUCAGGAAAGUUACCGGGAGUCACGCACUUGAACCGCUUCCAAACCCUGCCCGACAAGGAUAACGAUUUGCUAAGUUUUUCAUUAAUUGAUAUAUCAGAAAAUCAUCGAAAGAGACCGAUAGAGCGCAAGAAUGAUUAAAAUUACCCUUGGAGCAUGUCCUGCAGGCUUUGGAACUAUUCCAAGGGUCUCGAUAAUAGGUCGAAGGCAUCAACUCUUCCCUUAUCAAUUUGAAUGUCCAACAGAAUCCAAUGGAAGCUGCACAUGUAUAUAUAUAUAUAUAUGUCAGUAACUUAUCAAUUACACUUAUAAGUGAAUGGACACAACAGAGUAAAGAUCCUCACCUGAAGUUGUAUGGAAACAGUAUGUGGUCACAGAAAUUUUGAUCUAUUAGAAACCUUAGAAGGUUUUCCUCAGUCUCCUUGGGUUUGUCAGUUAGCGUCGCUAUAUGUAUUUUAUCUGGGUCAAUAAACCCAAUAUUUAGGAUGCUCUUACUUUUAUAAUCCAGAAUCUUCAUUCUGCAUAAUAGAGUACAAGUUAUAUAUAGACAAUGAAUUGAAAUAACUAAACAAGUUAUAUGUAGACAACGAAUUGAAAAACUUACAGACAAUAGCAACUCAUAAGCGAUUUGUCGAGGGCGUCGCCAGUGUACAUCUGGAAGAGUUCAUCAAAGGCGAUAUGGAUUUCUUCGGAGCGGCCGUAGUACUCGCGUGGGACACUCAGCACGAGCAUCGUUCUCCCAUUCUUUGAUUCACUUAAGUACCAUUUAUGCAAGUAACGCAUAUUUGUUGGGAGAUCAUCUUUGCUAACCAAAGGCUCACCCAUGAUAAACUGUGGCUUAGGGGCUACCACAGCCUUGGGUAUCCUGUCGUCUUGGGAAGCCAGCAAAUCUUCAACCGAGACACCACAUUCAGCCGCCAACUCCUUUGCUCUUUCAAAAGCUAGCCCCUGCACUGGAGGGGGAACAUUCUCGGUUAACACCUUGAGGGGUGGGAUCGACUGUUUGGCCUGUUGUCCAAGCUGAGGAACGUCUGAUUUUUUCUUGCUUGUAGUUGAACUUGAUUUGCUCCCACUUGCACUUGCACGUGAUCUGCUCUUUUUCACUUCCUUCUGCAAUGUGCGUGUAUAGUCAUCAGGCUUAUGGUGUAAGUCAUACUGUGAUGGAAGGGUCAUGAAGUAUUUUGCAAAUGCUAUUUGCUUCUCGGUGUAUUCCGGGCGGGGCUCGGGUUCCUUCUUUUUCAUCUGCGCAUCAUGAUGUUCCUUUGCUAUCCUCGCAUUUUCCUCGGCGGUACGAUCAUAAGGUAUGAUAGGAAGAUUAGCAUGACGUACCUUUGGGAGGGGCGACCAUUUGCGCUUUGUGGUGCUCUGUGGCUUAGGAAUCAUCGGCGGAGCGUUCUUGGUGGCACGCUCCCGCUUAGUAUCCGGAGCGGGCGGCGGCGGAGACGGACGACCCAAGUCCGGCGGCGGUGAUCGAGAUGGACUCUUGUUGUGCUGGCCGACGUCAUGUGGAGGGCUUGCACGUGAUCUGCUCUUUUUCACUUCCUUCUGCAAUGUGUGUGUAUAGUCAUCAGGCUUAUGGUGUAAGUCAUACUGUGAUGGAACGGUCGUGAAGUAUUUUGCAAAUGCUAUUUGCUUCUAGGUGUAUUCCGGGGGGGGGGCUCGAGUUCCUUAUUUUUCAUCUGCGCAUCAUGAUGUUCCUUUGCUAUCCUGGCGUUUUCCUCGGGGGUACGAUCAUAAGGUCUGGUAGGAAGAUUAGCAUGACGUACCUUUGGGAGGGGCGACCGUUUGCGCUUUGGGGUGCUCCGUGGCUUAGGAAUCGUCGGCGGAGCGUUCUUGGUGGCACGCUCCCGCUUUGUAUCCGGAGCGGGCGGCGGCGGAGACGGACGACCCAAGUCCGGCGACGGUGAUCGAGAUGGACUCGUGUUGUGCUGGCCGACGUCAUGUGGAGGGCUUGGAGGUAAUGGAGGUGUAGGUGACCUGCGACGACUCGGAGGCGGUGUUGUCCUUGGGGCCGAGCCUGGAAGCUUGAUGUAGUUCUUGUCCCAUAGGAUGACUCCACCCAGUACUUCUCCGAGUGUCCUCUCAUCUUCGGGUCCAGCUAUGUCGAGCUCCAUAUCACGAAACCCCGUCAGGAUUUCAUCCACCCCGACUUUAGCAAAGCCAGCUGGAAUCUCACGGCCAUGCCAGCGUGCAUCCGGGCCAGAAGGUAAAGCUUGUCCGACGGCCACCUUCAUGGAUAUGUUCUUGAAUUUCUGAUGGAGUUCACAUGAUGUUGACUCCUUGAUUCCAUCCACGGGGUAGCCGGGACCGUCCUCUAUCAUUCUUCGUGCAUCGUCGGGCGAGGCUUCAGAUUCAGCCACGCUGCUUUUCCGCUUAGAUGGGGCGCCGGUAAUAUCAAGUGCAGGAUCUUCCUGACGCGGUACUCCUCUAAGCUCAUCAAUCUGCUUCUGUUGCUCGUUAAUCCUGGCAAGCAACUGGUUGAACUUGUCAUUCUCCUCAUCCUGCUGCCACUUCUUUGCUCUCUCUCGGCUUCUGUAAGUGUCUUGGUCUCUGGCAAACCCAAGCCACCACGGGUAAGAAGGACCAAAGCCUCGCGUUCGUCCUCCAUGUUCAUCAUUGCCGAGGACCAGUGUGAGCAAAUCUUUAUCUCUAUCUGCAGUGAACUUUCUUUUUCCCUCCUUAAUUUCUUUCACUAUCCUUUUCCAAUUCUCCCUGGGUAUCCUAAGACCGUCAUUGCAGAUGAGGUCCCCUGUUUUUUCGUCGUACGACCCACCAUGCGCAAGGAACCAAUUUCUUGCUCUCAAUUCCCACUCAUCACGGAGUGGUUCAGGUACGAUGCCUUUAUCUAGCAGAUCUUGCUCUUUCUUAUCCCACUUUGGGAUGGCAGUCUCAUAGCCCCCUGGCCCCAGCUUGUGGUGAUAUUUCUUCUUGUCGGCAUUUAUCUUGUUCUUUUCUGAUAAUGCCUGGGCAUCUUCUGACUCCUUGUACUCUUGAAAUGCCUUCCAGUGAUUCGUCUGCUUGGCUAGAUACUCCUCAAAUACUGGCACUUUCUUUGUCUUCAGAUAGUUUUUCCAUAGCUUAUUCUUCCAGCUACGGAACAGUUCGGCCAUCUUCUUCAGAGUCCACUGCUUGACUUUGGCCCUCAGUUUGUCUGCAGCGUCUUCAUUCUCACAUUCUGGCAGGUUGAAAUGUGACAUGAGAUCAUUCCAAAGAUUAUCUUUGUACCUUUCGGCGACAUAGUCACUAUUGGGUGCCCCUUUGCGCUUGUUCUACUCCCGAACGCUGAUCGGGACGUGAUCCCUAACGAGAACUCCGCAUUGCUUCUUGAAUGUGUCAGCAGCAUUCUUAGGAAGCUUGGGUUCGCCCAUAGGUAAUAUCACCUCAAAGGUGUAAUGCGUCCGUGCAUCCAACUUUCUACUCGGGCCUCGUUUCGUAGUUUUGCUCGAUGUGGAGGCCUGAGAGGGAGAAACAUUCGUUAAAUGAAUGUAUAUGUAUACAAUAUAGAGCUAUCUCCAAUAUUUUUCACAUAUUACAAGUGAUUGUCGAACUUCAUAUGUAUACCUCGCCGGACUUUAUUAUUUCUUCACCGGCUUCUCCAUCAGUGGAGCUAUCACCUUCUCCGUCAUUGGACCUAUCUCCUGCCCCAUCGGCUUCAUCUUCGUGUCGCUCGACCUCCAUUCCAACGUCCUGGUUUAGAUAUGACGACGGAGAUUCAGCUGGUUCAACGUCGGGGCCGUCUUUGAUUAUAUCUUCGACAAGUUCUUCCUCUUCGAGGUUCCCGAUAUGUGGAUCCAUAGUUCUGCAAAAAACGGAUUCUCUUAACCUUUGUACCAAAAAAGAAUUAUUCUAUCAGGAACUCCGUUCCAAAACAACUUAAGUCCCGGGUCGUGGCUCCACCCAGGACUCCUAGAUUUCUGCAUAGUAUUCAAAGUAGGAGUACUUUUCCAAUUUGAGCAUUCAAUAAGCAAAACCAAAUCGUAAAAUAAAGUAGUAUUCAAAUUAGCAUGCAUUCAAUUAUAAGCUAAUACAUCAUCACUUUUAUCCGUACAUCGUCGAAUAUUAUCACUAAUACUCCUCGAAUACUAUCAUACAUAUACCAUCACUGAUACAUCUAGAACCGUAGCGCCCGACGGGUAUCGGCGCGGGCGGUGGACAUCCGAAGAGAAGGAACCAUCACAGGAUCAUAGCUCCAGUGAGAUCCCCGAAGAACCUGCCAGGUAUGCUCGAACCUACCCUCCAACGCAACCAUGUAGCGACGGACGUGUUCAUACUCCUCGCUGACACGGUGACGUACCACCUCCGCGGUGUCCGGAAGCCUCGGCACCCUCACUGGCCCACGCGACCGCCACCAAACAAGGAUCGGGUCAACGACGGGCUGGCUCCUCACCAACCUACGCGCCCCGGAAGGUAGCACCUCCCAAUACCAGCCGGGCGGAGCCCAGUCCCGGACAGGGCCCCUCUGAUCAAGCAGGUGUCCUCCGCCGAGUCGACGACGAGGAUGCGGGAUAGACAUCGUAAAAUGAACUAAAAAAAUAAACUAGUUCUAUUAAUUUUCUUGCUAAAAAUAAACUAUUAACACUUAAGCAUAUACAAUAGAAAAAUUAAACUAUUAACACUUAAACAUAUACAAUAGCAAAAUUAAGCAAUAAUCUAAGAAACACUAUUAACACUUAAGCAUAUACACUAUACAAUAGCAAAAUUAAAUGACACUAUACAAUAUGUCUCCUCUUCUUCUACUUCUACUUCUCCUCUUCUUGUAGUACUUCUCCUCUUCUCUUCUUCUACUUCUCCUCUCCUCCUCUUCUAUUUUUUUCUCUUCUUCUACUUCUCCUCUUCUUCUAUUUUUCCUCUUCUUCUCCUCUCCUCCUCUUCUUAUUCUCCUUUUUCUUCUUUUCUUCUCCUCCUCUUCUUAUUUUCAUUUUUCCUAAUCUUAUUUUCUUAUUUUUGUUCAUAUUUCUUCUUCUUGUAACCCUAACCUAAUUCUAAAUAUUACUAACCCUAAUAAUCUAGCACAAACCUAAUAACAAUAGGAAUUAAAUGACAAAAAAAAUCUUUUUCUUUUUCUUCUUUUCUUCUCCUUUUUCUUCCUUUCUUCUCCUUUUUCUUCCUUUCUUCUCCUUUUUCUUAUUUUCUUCUUCUAUUUUUCCUCUUCUUCUCCUCUCCUCCUCUUCUUUUCUUCUCCUUUUCUUCUCCUUUUUCUUCUUUUUUUCUUCUUUUUCUUUUUUCUUCUACUGGCCGGAGUGUUGGGGAGGAGGGGGCGGGGGGCUUACCGGCCGGAGGUGUCGAUGGCGCACGGCGAGGAGGACGGCGGCGGCGAGGAGGACAACAGCGAUGGCGAGGAGGACGGCAGCCGGCGGCGAGCAGGACGUCGGGCAGCGUGACGGCGUCGUCAAGUUCGUCGUUGUGCCGCACCGGGCAGGAGAAUGAGAGAAAGAAGAAGAGAAAUGGACGAUUUGGGUUGGAAUUUUUCGAAGUCCCGCUUAUAUAGGUGGAUCUUUAGUCCCGGUGCGUGGCUCGAACCGGGACUAAAGGGGGUCUUUAGUCCCGGGGCGUGGCUCCACCCGGGACUAAAGCCCCUCCUCGGCUGCACGAUAAGUUUAGUCCCACCUCGCCCAGCGAGGGGGACUAACACUUGUUUAUAAGCCCCGUCGCAGCUUCUUCGUCGAGCUCCUCUCUAAAGCAGGCUUACGGGCCUAAACUCACUGAAAAUUGAAACUAUAUUAGAAAUUAUAGGGAAAACUCAAUGUAAAUUCAAAUGAGAAUUUAGAUUGAAUUUUCUCUAUGAUUUCGAAUAUAAUUUCAAUUUUUUUCUAUUUUCAUAAUUAAUAAUUUUGACUAUCCAAACCAUUAUCUAUUUUGUUAUUUUCAAUUAAAAACUAUGUUUAUUAAAAAUUCUUUUUCAUAUUUGACAAUUUGACAAAACUAUGAUAAUGAAAAGUGUUUGAAAUUGAAUAAAUAAUGCAAAACUAUUUUUUAUUUUCAUAAUUAAUAAUUUUGACUAUCCAAACUAUUAUCUAUUUUGUUAUUUUUAAUUAAAAACUAUGUUUNNNNNNNNNNNNNNNNNNNNNNNNNNNNNNNNNNNNNNNNNNNNNNNNNNNNNNNNNNNNNNNNNNNNNNNNNNNNNNNNNNNNNNNNNNNNNNNNNNNNNNNNNNNNNNNNNNNNNNNNNNNNNNNNNNNNNNNNNNNNNNNNNNNNNNNNNNNNNNNNNNNNNNNNNNNNNNNNNNNNNNNNNNNNNNNNNNNNNNNNNNNNNNNNNNNNNNNNNNNNNNNNNNNNNNNNNNNNNNNNNNNNNNNNNNNNNNNNNNNNNNNNNNAAAACUAUUUUCUAUUUUCAUAAUUAAUAAUUUUGACUAUCCAAACUAUUAUCUGUUUUGUUAUUUUCAAUUAAAAACUAUGUUUAUUAAAAAUUCUUUUUGCAUAUUUCAGAAUUUGACAAAACUAUGAUAAUGAAAAGUGUUUGAAAUUGAAUAAAUAAUGCAAAACUAUUUUCCAUUUUCAUAAUUAAUAAUUUUGACUAUCCAAACUAUUAUCUAUUUUGUUAUUUUCAAUUAAAAACUAUGUUUAUUAAAAAUUCUUUUUGCAUAUUUGAGAAUUUGACAAAACUAUGAUAAUGAAAAGUGUUUGAAAUUGAAUAAAUAAUGCAAAACUAUUUUCUAUUUCCAUAAUUAAUUAUUUUGAACUUAUUUGAACUCCAUACCUUUUGUGUGUUCAAAAUGCACCAUUCUAAGGCACAUCACAAAAUUUCAACAAUUUCUGACUUCAUUUGGUAUUCUUCGUGCAUUUACUUAUUUGUUUUUGAGCUAGUUGACCCUGAAAUUGAAAAGCACUACAAAUGAACUCUGAAAAUGUUGAAAGUUGGCAUGCUAUCAUCAUUUCACCCACAUAGCAUGUGUUAAAAAGUUGAGAGGGCUACGACAAAAACUGGAUGCACUUCGUGUACAAAACGGACAAUCUCUCUCGAAGUAGAAGGGUUUCGAACGAGAACUCAUCUCUUACAAAAGGGAUUUCAUUUUUUGAACUUAUUUGNNNNNNNNNNNNNNNNNNNNNNNNNNNNNNNNNNNNNNNNNNNNNNNNNNNNNNNNNNNNNNNNNNNNNNNNNNNNNNNNNNNNNNNNNNNNNNNNNNNNNNNNNNNNNNNNNNNNNNNNNNNNNNNNNNNNNNNNNNNNNNNNNNNNNNNNNNNNNNNNNNNNNNNNNNNNNNNNNNNNNNNNNNNNNNNNNNNNNNNNNNNNNNNNNNNNNNNNNNNNNNNNNNNNNNNNNNNNNNNNNNNNNNNNNNNNNNNNNNNNNNNNNNNNNNNNNNNNNNNNNNNNNNNNNNNNNNNNNNNNNNNNNNNNNNNNNNNNNNNNNNNNNNNNNNNNNNNUCAUUUCACCCACAUAGUAUGUGUUAAAAAGUUGAGAGGGCUACGACAAAAACUGGAUGCACUUCGUGUACAAAACGGACAAUCUCUCUCGAAGUAGCAGGGUUUCGAAAGAGAACUCAUCUCUUACAAAGGGAUUUCAUUUUUUUGAACUUAUUUGAACUCCAUACUUUUUGUGUGUUCAAAAUGCACCAUUCAAAGGCACAUCACAAAAUUUCAACAAUUUCUCAAUUCAUUUGGUAUUCUUCGUGCAUUUACUUUUUUUUUGAGCUAGUUGACCCUGAAAUUGAAAAGCACUACAAAUGAACUCUGAUAAUGUUGAAAGUUGGCAUGCUAUCAUCAUUUCACCCACAUAGCAUUUGUUAAAAAGUUGAGAGGGCUACCACAAAAACUGGAUGCACUUCGUGUACAAAACGGACAAUCUCUCUCUAAGUAGCAAGGUUUCGAACGAGAACUCAUCUCUUACNNNNNNNNNNNNNNNNNNNNNNNNNNNNNNNNNNNNNNNNNNNNNNNNNNNNNNNNNNNNNNNNNNNNNNNNNNNNNNNNNNNNNNNNNNNNNNNNNNNNNNNNNNNNNNNNNNNNNNNNNNNNNNNNNNNNNNNNNNNNNNNNNNNNNNNNNNNNNNNNNNNNNNNNNNNNNNNNNAUUCUUCGUGCAUUUACCUGAUUUUUCAACCGUCGAUGAUGGUCGCUACUCCUACUUCCCCUAGUGCAUAACCAAUAUCUAGCACAAGGAGAAGAAGGAGAAGCGGCCCCCACAACAAAAGUGGUUCCGCGGCACGCCACGUGGUUCCACUGCACGCCACGUGGGACUAAUGGUCUUUCAUUUUUAAAUGACUGUUUUAAUCAAAAACAGAUCUGUUACAAAAGGGAUUUCAUUUUUUGAACUUAUUUGAACUGAAGUCUUUUUGUAUAUAUAUGUGGUCGAAAUGCAUGAUACCAUGAAGUUAAAAAGGGCUAAACAUUCAAAAGUAGCAAAUGAAGUUAGAAAGGGCUAAACCAUUCAAAUUUGGAAACUAUAAUGGCACAAACAGAAACUAGACAUAUAUAAAUUGGUCCAAGAAGUACAUGAUACUAGUCCAAACAGUACAUAAUAAUAGCUACCAUAGAUAUAUAUACAAGUGUUCGACGUUCAGAACACUACUCGUCUGAAUCAUCUAAAUCAGAAUGUCCACCUUCCUCGAGGUGACGCUGGCCAUAGUGGACGACUCGAAUCUUGCGGUACAACUCGUAUGAAACGUAUGCAUCUUUUGCUGCAUACCCAGUGUUGAUAGGAUCAAGUGGGCCCUUCUCCCAAAGUUUGUGCUGAUACUUUGAGAAACUGGUCUUCAUAUCACCAUAUCCCUCGUCGAUCAAGGCAACUGCCAUAUGAGCCAUCGAAGUCCUGUCAUGUCGAAGCCUGAAUACCGUUUGGAGAUCAACGAGGCAACCGGCUGGUAUCUCAAUACCGAGGUUGUGCCUCAUCUUCAGCUUGUCGUUCCUUAUGUCAACGGAAGCAAAAGUGAUGUCGCUGCAAAGGAAGUCCAUGAGUUCUGGACAAUGCUUGUCACUCCUGCAACAGAAACAAAUUAAAAUGGAACAAAUGUUACAUACUGCUGCAAUAAGGAAACAUGUUUCACUACAACUAAAGAGAAAAUUAUCUUUAGGAUUCAAAUAGAACAUAUGCAAUGGAACCUAGAGAGAUCACUAUAGCUAUCCAAUGGAACCUAGAGAGAUCACUAGCUAUAUGCAAUUUUCAUGACUAUGACAUAUCAUAUUGCUAUCCAAUGGAACCUAGAGAGAUCACUAGCUAUAUCCAAUUUUCAUAACCUUGGAUCAAAGAACACCGCAUAAAAUUGUAUCACUACAACUAUGAUUUCAAUGGAACAUAUUGAACCAAUCAGAUUUUUCAGAUUGUGGAACACUAUUCCAAUCAGAUUGUGUUCCCUUCAACUAAUCAAAAUUGUUUCACUACAACUAUUUGAAGCGAACCAACUAUGAUUCCAAUGGAACAUAUUAAACACUAGUUGAUUCUAAUAUGAUUUUUCAGAUUAUGGAACACUAUUCCAAUCAGAUUGUGUUCCCCUUCAACUAAUCAAAAUUGUUUCACUACAACUAUUUGAAGGGAACCAACUAUGAUUCCAAUGGAACAUAUUAAACACUAGUUGAUUCUAAUACGAUUUGUCAGAUUAUGGAACACUAUUCCAAUUAGAUUGUGUUCCCCUUCAACUAAUAAAAAUUGUUUCACUUCAACUAUUUGAAGGGAACCAACUAUGAUUGAAACAAAUAAACUUACAAUGUCAUUAUCUUGGAUCAAAGAAAGCCUCAAAACUUACCUCGCCCAUUGGAAGAUCAAGACAUGGCGUGCGAAGCAUAGUUGGAUGACGGCAACACCGCGUUGAUCGGCCAUGUACUCCAGAUCAAGCCCCAAGAACUUCUCAUGAUGCACUGCAUUGUCAAACCAUUUUUCCUUCAACUAUUGAAGAAAAAACGGCACCUCAUUGCUCAGGUUCGUGUACACGACAUCGAGCAUGGUCGUGCCAUGUGCGAGCACCUUAUGAAAGCUAGUUGGCAUGAUGGAAGAAGAGAAGGGAAGAAGAGAGGAGAAGAACAGAGAGGGAGAGCGAGAGAGAAGAAGAAACAGAGAAAUGGCGAUUGUGCUUCGGUUCGUGCUUUUCAUCGCCCGAAACGACGCGGGAUGCAAACCGUUUGGGUCUUUAGUCCCGGGUUGAGCCACCAACCGGGACUAAAGAGGUAUACCAACGGUUGCCACCACUACGGCAGGCCAUGUGUUAGUCCUUUAGUCCCGGGUUGAGACACCAACCGGGACUAAAGGGGGAUACGAACGGUUGCCACCACCACUGCCCGCCGCGUAGCCCUUUAGUCCCGGUUUGGGACACGAACCGGGACUAAAGGCUCCUUACGGGCCGGGACUAAAGCCUCGAGGGAGGCAUUGAGAGUUGGGGCGACGUGGCCAGACCUUUAGUCCCGGCCCAGAGGCAGGCCGAGACUAAAUGGUCCCGGCCAAAGGCCCGUUUUCCACUAGUGGAAAAGCAAUGCUCGAAGGUCAAAUUCCUCUUGUUUGUGCUCGUCCCACACACGUACACUUGGUUCGGCCCACAACUGUAAAAGUUCAUCAACUAAUGGCCUUAGGUACACAUCAAUAUCGUUGCCGGGUUGCUUUGGACCUUGUAUAAGCACUGGCAUCAUAAUGAACUUCCGCUUCAUGCACAACCAAGGAGGAAGGUUGUAGAUACAUAGAGUAACGGGCCAGGUGAUGUGACUGCAACUCUGCUCCCCAAAAGGAUUCAUGCCAUUUGUACUCAGACCUAACCAUAAGUUCCUUGCGUCAGCUGCAAAUCUCGGGAACUCUCUCUCGAUUUUUCUCCACUGCCGACCAUCAGCGGUGUGCCUCAACUUAUCGUCUUUCAUACGAUCUUCCAUCUGCCAUCGCAACAACUUCGCAUGAUCUUUAUUUCUGAACAGACGUUUAAACCGUGGUAUUAUAGGAGCAUACCACAUCACCUUGGCAGGAACCCUCUUCCUGGGUGGCUCGCCCUCAAUAUCACCAGGGUCAUCUUUUCUGAUCUUAUACCGCAAUGCAGUGCAUACCGGGCAUUUAUCCAUAUUCUCGUACUUCUCACCACGGUAGAGGAUGCUGUCAUUAGGGCAUGCAUGUAUCUUCUGCACGUCUAAUCCUAGAGGGCAGACAAGCUUCUUUGCUUCGUACGUGCUGGCGGGCAAUUCGUUCUUUCUUGGAAGCAUCUUCUUCAUCAGUACCAGCAACUUUUCGAAUGACGAGUCAGUCACACCGGUCUCUGCCUUCCACUUCAGCAAUUCCAUUGUGCUACCCAGCUUCUUCUGGCCAUAUUCACAAGUUGGGUACAACAAUUUGUUGUGGUCCUGUAACAUCAGCUCAAACUGCAACCUCUCCUUUUCUGUGUCGCAACCUCGCCGUGCAUUAGAAAUGACCCGGCCAAGAUCAUCAGCGGGCUCAUCUGGUUCCCGUUCUUCAUCCUGAUCUUCUUCUUCAUUGUCUUCCAUUGCGGUAUCAGCAUACUCAGGGAACAUAGAUCGGUAGUUGUCAUCAUCGUUCUCUUCUUCUUCAUCGUCGUCUUCCAUCAUAACCCCUCUUUCUCCGUGCUUGGUCCAAACAUUAUAGCCCGACAUAAAACCGGACCGAAGCAGGUGGCUCUGAAUGACUCUUGAGGAAGUGUAAUCCUUCUCAUUCCGACAUUCAACACAUGGACAAAACAUAUAGCCACCACCAUGCUUGUUCGCAUCGGCUGCAUCUCGAAAAGAAUGCACGCCAUCUCUCUAAGCGGUUGUGCGUCGAUCACCGUACAUCCAUGGAUGGCUCAUCUGUGUUAUACGACAGUAUAUCAAAUACAAUCACGAUCCUAAAAAUUAGUACCGCACGGUCUAAACGAGGAAAUAUAGUUGCUAACCUUUUAGAAUAAGUAGAAAUAAAGAGGAAGAGGUUUAAGCGUGGCUCAGGCAUCUCAUAUCGUAGUUGUGUUCGGUGAACUGAAGCGGCAUCGCUCUAACACACAUUUCAACAAACACCUCUAGUGCAUCAAAAAAAGUGGAGAGCUAGCACCCUCCCACAAUCCUCCAUCCAAGAAAAAUGCAACGAAGAGAGGAGAGGGGGGCUGUGCUAUAUAUAGGCAGAGGACUUUAGUCCCGGUUUGAGACACAAACCGGGACUAAAGGUGGUGCACAUGCGGGUUGCACACCGCGUAGCCCUUUAGUCCCGGUUUGGGACACGAACCGGGACUAAAGGCUCCUUACAGGCCGGGACUAAAGCCUCGAGGGAGGCAUUGGGAAUUGGGGCGACGUGGCCGGGCCUUUAGUCCCAGCCCAGAGGCAGGCCGGGACUAAAGGGUCCCGGCCAAAGGCCCAUUUUCCACUAGUGAUAUAGUUCUCUAAUAAAUUUUUAAAAAAAGAUUUANNNNNNNNNNNNNNNNNNNNNNNNNNNNNNNNNNNNNNNNNNNNNNNNNNNNNNNNNNNNNNNNNNNNNNNNNNNNNNNNNNNNNNNNNNNNNNNNNNNNNNNNNNNNNNNNNNNNNNNNNNNNNNNNNNNNNNNNNNNNNNNNUUUUAAAAAAAGAUUUAUAUUUAAAAACGGAGGGAGUAGUUUUUAGGAGGCGUUUGGUUUGAGAGACAUGGUAGUGUUGUUAUGCAAGUCCAAUGAGAAGGAGGAUGCUGCAUUUAUUGUCUUGGAAAUUGAAUAUGUGAGAAAUANNNNNNNNNNNNNNNNNNNNNNNNNNNNNNNNNNNNNNNNNNNNNNNNNNNNNNNNNNNNNNNNNNNNNNNNNNNNNNNNNNNNNNNNNNNNNNNNNNNNNNNNNNNNNNNNNNNNNNCGCGGGAGGAGGCGGCCGACGCGGGAGGCGCGGCCGGCACGGGAGGAGGCUGCCAACGCGGGAGGCGCGGCCGACGCGGGAGGAGGCGGCCGGCGCGGGAGGCGCGGGUGGCGGCCAACACGGGAGGAGGCCGGCGCGGGGGGCGUGGGUGGCGGCCGACGCGGGAGGAGGCCGACGCGGCAGGAUCCCAUCCUACCAACCAAACAAAAAAAGGGAUAACCCUAUCCUUCCAACCAAACAAAAAAAGGGCUAUCCCCAGCCACCUGGUUGGGGAUACCCACAACCACCCUAACCUAUCCCUCCAACCAAACACACCCUAAAACGGCAACUAGCUGUUGCUCAGGCCUGCUCGUGCCCUAGGAGUUGCCUGCUCGUGCACGAGCUGUCUGCCCAUGGUCGAGCGCCUAUCGUGCCCGAGCUGUCUGUCCAUGGCCAAGCGCGUGCUCGUGCCCGACCAAGUUGUCUUCCCAUGGCCGCAUCGAGCUCCAGAGACCACAAGUCAUCUUCAUCUGCCUCGUCCACAUUCAGCAAGGUCGCCGGAGGCUGCAAGCUGUUACGAAUAUAUACGAUUUACCAUGUGAUUUACUAGCAGAAAUAACAGAUAAAUCGUGACUAUCAAAUCGAUUAUAAGAUAAGUCAUGUAAUCAUACAUGGAGUAUGCAAGUAGCAUUUAAAAUGAUGAAUACGAACAAAACAUAUCUGAACAGAAAAUAGACCAAGAAACUAUGGCAAGAAUUCAAAGAAAAAAAGAACACGUACUGAGUUGCAACACUAGUAACAGUGGGAUUGACAUUGACGUCGUCCAUGUUGUUGAAGAGGUUGUUGACGUCGGGGAAGAAGUCGUCUCCCGUGGCGUUCGUAAUGAAGAAGCCAGUAGUCGCACAGAGCCCUCCUCAAAAACCUUAUCACCCUUCUCCCGUACAUGACUCAAAGAGGUGGGUUUCGAAGGCCUACUGUCCCGACCCGCGGUGCAUGCCGUAAGCCAGGAUGGGGAAGAACCUAGCAGCAUCUCAGAGGUUGGAACUCGAUGGCGUGAGGAAGAUGAUGUUCUCGUGUAUCUCUCUGGAGGAGAGACCUCUCUUUUAUAGACACAGGAGAAGGAGGCGAAAGGAAAUGACGAGAGGCGAAGCAAAAGAGGGAGACAAAACGAACAAGCAGCGACCGAAGGAUGCAUCAUUCGUAUUCAAUCUCCACUACAACAAAACCUUUCAGCUUUUGAGUGACCUUUCAUAUACCAGUCGUGCGUGACAAAAAAUAGGCAUCAGCUCAUUCACGGAACCCGCGACGCAUCGUGACGAGGCGUGGUGAGGCGGGUGGCAGAGGAGCGCACGUGUAUGUCUCUCUUGUUCUCAUGCUCAUACAUGUGGGGAACUAUCCUCCCUUGUAAGGAGGUCCAACUCCUAUCAAACUAGCAAUAUGGGACUAAACUUUUGUCCCGCUUCUUGCCUUGCAUAAAUGGGCUAAGUGGGCCUCUGUGACAUCCUCACCUUUUGCUACAGUAAGCAUUGUAAUUAAGCUAUAGUAAUGACCAUGAUCAGUGCCUAAUUAUUUUGCUAAGCAAGCAAUGAUCAAGUUGAAAUUCAUAUCUAAUUUCAAAUUCCAUUAUCAGAUGGCAUUGGAUUUUUGUUGAGAUAAAAUACUUCCUCAAUCAUAAUAAGAAAAAUGUUGCAUCUUUGUGGAAUAAGCCAAAACAAAUAUUGUUAAGGAAAACAACAUCACCAAGCUAAUGGUGUGGACCCCACCUUAAAAAACACAGCCUUAUAGCAAUUUUAAAGGGGGACUUAAUUCAAAUUUAAAAGGCCAACAACUUCUAAAAAUCCCCAAAAUAUUUAUGGCCAUGUGAAAUAAUGUAUUAUGUUUAUUUAAUCAAGUCACACAUUUUUACUAAAUGGAAUUAAUGCUAGAAAGAAAUAAAACAAAACCUGUAAAAUAAAAACAGAAAAAAACUGUUGGGCGGGCCACAACAGGCCCAACACCCCAAACCGGCCCACCCCCCGUGGGUAUAACUACCCGAGGAAAACCUAGCCCCUCUCGCUCACCGAAGUAUGUUCACUGACAUAGCACCCUUUGUUGGGUCAGGAAUCAGUGUCUUUAGCUCCUCCGACAUGGCCUUCUUCACCAUAGCGUCUGCUUCUUUGUGCAACUCUUCCAUGUUGCUGAAGUUUGAACACACUUCUAUGGUGUUCUCAAACUUGGUGCGAUCACCGAGCGAGCACCCUAGGAAGAAUGCCCUCCAUCCAAUGCCCCAAGGGAAGUGUUUGGGGUUGGGGUUCGACUUCUUGCCGUAGUUCAUGUCGAUGGGUUGGAGGAAGAGUGAGAGACAGAUAGGUGGAGCGGUGACCAUCAGGCUGGCUAAAUAAAGGGAUUCUAGGCUAUAGGUUUUAAUGACAAUGUUGUAACAUUCAUAUUGCAGAUAUUGACCGUUUGAAGCUCUUCAUUAUGUAGAUCCACAAGGAGAGCAAGGGGAAGGAUGUGGUGCCACCCAAGGAGCAAGACAAGGGCAAGGACGUGGAGCCGCCUUUGGAGUUGGCGCCCGCCUAGACCCUUGACACAGACGACGACCAACCGAAGGAGGCCCCAACGACAAGCAUCAGCCCUACAGCCGCUACCAUUUUAUGGGAGGGCCAAGCAACUUCUGCAAGUUGAUCACGACCCCACCUGGAGGCCAUACCUAUGCCGCUGGACUUCAUGAAGCACUUCCCGUUGGUGCCACGACAGUUCAGGCUGAAGACCAACACCUGCUGCCCCCUAGAGGGUGACUGUGUGGCUGUUUAAUGGCAGGGCCACCCUUGAUUAGGGCUGGGCCACCUUCGUCGUUUCCCAUCAGAUCAAGAUAGGCUUCAUGGUGACCUUCAAGCUGCUCACUCCUGACAUGUGGAAGGUCAUCAUGUUCAAUAACGACGACAUUGAAGUGUUGAACAGGUGCGGGAAGCACGACGCCGCCUUCGCCAUGAACCCCUAAGACAACUCCGACAUGCUCUAGGUGCUUUACUUUAGUAUCGAACUGCUAUUUUAAACUGAUCUAUUAUGUGUGGCACAAUAUUUAUAUCUACUCUAUUUUGUGUUAUGUGUGUUCUUCCUGAGGCUGCUAUGUACUGGUAACCUCACCACCGUGCCAAAGAGGUUACCGUACAACAGGCGGUGCAUGCCACCAAACAACAGACUAUGUGUUUGCGCGUGCACAAGCGGGCAACCAAAUAGCAUACAGAGAGUGACACCUCAUGCAGCCUCAAGGAUAUGCAGGCAACCAAACUUAGUGCAAAUGUUAGUUUUCUACAUGUUUUACCUAGCCUGAGCUUGUUUACCCAGGCUUCACGGGUCACUUCCAGCAACUACACCUACCAAACACGUCCUCGGUGUUUUCAUGCACACUUUCCAUGUUUUCACGUUACUUCUCAAAAUAAGCAUGUUUGUAUUUUCAUGGAUAUCUCUGUGUGUUUUUAAAUGUACUUUCCACCAUUGUUUAUACUAUAAUAAUUGUCUGUGUUUGUAUGCUUGACUUUUGGUGUCUGCGAGCCUUUUCUAAGAUUGUGUGUUUGCUUGUAUUUUUGAUGUUUAUGUGUGUAUUAUCAAAGUUUUGUUUGUUUGAAGAUAGUAUGCCUUCAUGCAAUGUAGAUGUCAUGAGCCAGUAAUGCGUGUCAUGAUGAACAUGCUCUAUUUUUGAAACGCGGUCCCUUAGGGACCGAUUCAUUAAAAAAGGUUGAAGAGAAUUGCCAUGUUAGUUAACGGAAAACUCGGCCAAAACCUUUACAACACGCCCGCAAAAGCAAGGCCUACAAGGUGACGUGUCAAGCCACACAAGAACGCACACACACUGUCAUCGACAACUAGGCAGCUUCGAUUCUAUCCACGAGCAUUGCAGGGGAAAAGCGUUGGACCUGCACCGAGCCGGUACCGGAGCCGACCACCCAUCUCCUGUCAUCGUCACCGCGGAGGCACUUCCUCUCCAGCUCCGACUUCGGGAAGACAAGUGAGGCAAGACAACCCCUCAAACACGCCGGAAAAGACCGACUACCAAAGCCCAGCAACAACCCAACUCUGCUAGCAGCCGCCAUCGUUGCCACACAAGAAGACGGGCCGCAUUACCAUUGUGGGAUGGACACCUACCGAACGCAAUGCCGCAAGCGUCCAUCCCAUGGAGCGCGCAAACGGGAUCCAAAACUCUUCAAGAAGACGUCCCCAAGAAGGUCGCGACGAUGCCGACGCCGUCGCCCGACCCGACUGGGCCUUAGCCUUUCACCCGAAUAGCUGGAACCGAGCGUAUGCAGGGGAUGGACUCCACAACGACGCCUCCAAGGAGGUGUCACGGCGUCCACGGACGCCGACGCUGUCAGCCGGUAAGACGCGACAAACUUUUGUCUGGAGCACCACCCAACAUGUCACGCCCAAGAUGCGACCCUAUCCUCGAUUUGGCACUAAGGCCUCGUCAGGGAUACAAGCGCAUCUCGUCGUGUCGCAAGAAUGGAUAUCAUUACACGUACAUGUACUGAAAAGAAGAUAUAUAUAUAUAUAUAGAAUUGGCUUACACUCGCCACAAGCUACAUCAGAGUCACAUCAGUACAUUACAUAUUCAUCAAGAGUAAGAGCAGGGUCCGGCUACGGACGAAAACAAAUGACAAAAGAAGAACGACGUCCAUCCUUGCUAUCCCAGGCUGCCGGCCUGGAACCCAUCCUAGAUCGAUCAGGAAGAAGAAGAAGAAGCAACUCCAAAUGAACAAUCAACGCGCUCGCGUCAAGGAACCUUUACCUGUACCUGCAACUGGUGUUCUAGUAAUCUGUGAGCCACAGGGGACUCGGCAAUCUCAUUUCCAAAGGUAUCAAGACUAGCAAAGCUUAAUGGGUGAGUUAAGGUUAAGUGAUGAGGUUGCAGCAGCGGCUAAGCAUAUAUUUAUGGUGGCUAACUUACGAGUACAAGAAAUAAGAGGGGCGAGAUCUACGCAUAACGGACAUGAACUACUGAUGACCAAAUGAAUGAUCCUGAACACCUACCUACGUCAGACAUAACCCCACCGUGUCUUCGAUCGGAGAAGGAACUCACGAAAGAGACAAUCACGGUUACCCACACAGUUGGCAUAUUUUAAUUAAGUUAACUUCAAGUUAUCUAGAACCAGUGUUAAACAAAGUUUCCACGUUGCCACAUAACCGCGGGCACGACUUUCCGAAAGAUUUAACCUUGCAGGGGUGCUCCAACUAGUCCAUCACAAAUUACCACAAGCCGCAUAGAAAUCCUCAAUCACGAAGCUCGCGAUCUCGUGGGAUUCCCUAGUGGAAAACCUCAACUCUGAGAUUACCCAAAGCAUCACCAGAAUCCCGAUGCACAAGAUAUUUCGUCAAAGGUAAAACUAAUCCAGCAAGGCCGCCCGACGUGUCGACGAUCCUGAUAGGAGCCGCGUAUCUCGUUCUCAGGACACGACGGAUGGGUCACACUAGGAGAAACCAAACCUCGGGUUGCCCCGCGGUGGCCCCGUAGUCUGCCAAUUUGGACCAACACUCAUGAGGAGCACUCGCCCGGGGGUUGAUUAAAUUUCCUCGGGUGCCGGCGGGUCCCUAUGCAUUAUUAUUAGGUUAUUAGGAAAAAGUAGUACCAAAGUUGGGCCUUGCCAGACCAGCUUUAAUCUAAAACGAAUUAUCAAGGGGGUCCCCAUAACAACCCCGAUCGUGUUGGGAGCGCUCAUUUAUGGAACAUAACACCGAUAGCCGAAAACUAAGGGGGCAAAGGUGGAACAAAACACCAGGCUAGAAAGGCCGAGCCUUCCACCUUUUACCAAGUAUAUAGGUGCAUUAAAUUAAAUAGCAUUUAAUAUGGUGAUAUAACAAGGAACCCAUGUUAUCACAUGGAAGCAACUGCACCUGCAACUAGCAACACUAACACAGGGUUAAGGAAGCAGUAACAUAGCCAAUCAGUGGUUUGCUAGGUUGAACAGGUUGAAGGUUUUCAUGGCAUUGUUGAGAGGCUGGUAUUUAACAUGUGGUAGGCAACGAGACAUAAUCGAUAGAAGCGAUAAAACUAGCAUGGCAAUGAUAGUAAUGGUAUCUGGGGAAAUGGUCAUCUUGCCUGAGAUCCCGCUUGGAAGAAGAAUGCCUCCGUGAAGCAGACGAACCGACAUAGUCGAACGGGUCCUCACAAUCCGACACGCUUGCGGAACUCUAUCGAGACGGGGAAAACCGGAAACAAGAAUCAACACACGAUAUUCACCACACAAUGCACUACACACAUGAUGCAUGAGCAGCUGAGUACAUGCAAGUCACGGCAUGGCAAAUCACACAAACAAACACUACACAUUAAGUGAAGUUCAAUAUGCAACGAGUUGCAUAUUGACGAAACUCCACAUUUAUUAUUUAGUUCUAUCCCGAUUAGGUACACGACAAUAUUAAAUGUGGGUUAACAUGGCUAGAGGUGAAGCGUAAUUAAACUACCUAUCUAGGCAUUUUAAAUGAGAUCGGAAAUGACAUAUAGCAUCUCCGAGACGACCUCACAUGUUAAUUUACAAUUCUGUCCAGAUCUGAACUAACACAUUUAAUUGGUUGUUAAAAAGCAAAACAAAUAGGUUCACGUGAUUCUACGCGUCGUUAGAAGCAAUUUACACAUAGAGAUCAUCUCCAACGGAGCUACGGACGAAAGUUACAAGCACCGCAAGAUAUGAUGGCAUGAAUGCAAUAUGUGUGCAUCGACGGCUACGAGCACUUCAAAACAUACAACCAGCAAGAGAAAAUGAAACUACAUGAGAUUCUAAGCAAGUUCCAUAUAGGACACGAGCAAAUCGGAGCUACGGUUCAACAACUACGAGCUAAACAAGAAAACACUACAAUCUGCCAAAAUCAGUCACAUAGCAUUUUCUACACCCCACAACUACGAGCUACACAACUCCAUUCUACUCAACCCAGGCAUGACAUGGAAGAGGGCAAGAAGCACUACAACAAACAACUAACAACAACUAGCAUGGCAGCAAGGAUCACUAGGAAAAGAAGUCACAAAAUGGCAUCCCAAAACUAUUUCAGACUUGGUGAAAAUAGCAGUUUAUGAAGCUGCAGUUUUCGAUCUGAAGGCAUAUUGACAGCAGCAAAACUAUAAGCUGCAGGUCUCCAAAUGGCAUGAAAAUUCACAACAUGCUAGAGAAUCACAAGGUCUACAACUAACUCCAUUGCACCAACCUCAAAAGAGCUACAGAUCAAAAGAUAGAAGCAAGACAAGACAACAACAAAAUAUAACAGAUUCCAGACUUAGAAAUAUUUCAGCACUUCCAAAUCAACACUAUUCUAGCAAAUUGAGAGCAAGCAAACCACACCUAAACAUGCAUUUCUAUUGCAACCAAAAAUACCAGGGCUAGACUAAACAUCAAAGAACAACUCCCUAGUUGACAACUUGAUCAUAGCACGCACGGAAUAAAUCCUACGAAAUAGACAAGAGGACAACAUGGCAAAAAUAUCGCACGAACUAACUUACUCAAAAGCUAAAACUAAUUACACAGAAAAAUCCCAUGGAUUUUUCUACCCCGAAAACAUAUAAAUUACGUGGGGUUGCACAACAAAAAAAUAACACCACACGUAAAUGCGAGAUAAUAACCUAUACACGGAAAAUAACUAGCGGCAAAUCUCUACACGCAAAAAUACAAACAUCUACUCUAAAAUACUUGAAAAAGUGGUUCCUAAGACAUGAAAAUUUAUACUACGACAUUCGAGCAAUCUGGACCGCAAGAAAAAUAAAUACGGGACGUUCCCCUAUUGGGACAGCAUGCUAAACUAGACGUUUGACACGUUAAACUACGUCAAACAAUUAUGCAAGUUGCAAAAUCGUAUUCUACGCGCAAAGCUACACAAAAACCAUAUACAACUCAUCGCGAUCCGAAGUACAGAUUAAAAGAUACGGACGUUCUAAAAUCCGUCUAUUUUUCUGGAAUUUAAUAAUUUCGAAAAAUCCCUAAUUAACUAACCGGGCCGAAACCAGCAUGGAUCACUAUCUAGCACCUAGGCGAAAAAAAACAUAGAGGGCCGAGGGGAGCUCACCUUGGGCCGGCUCGGAUCGGCCUGGUGAGGAGGCUGCGGCUUGAGGCGGCGGGGCGACGCGGACGGGCCGGUGGGGCGGCCUGGCAGGCCGAGGCGAGGCCCACACGGGCGAAGCGGGACUGGGCCGGGGUGACGCGGGGCCCAGCUGGCCGCUGGAGGCUGGCGGAUCGGGGGGAGGCCGAUCCCGUGGUCAACUCCCUCGUUCGAUCCGAUCUGGAUCGGGGACGAGGCGACGGCGGUUGCGGCGAGCGCCAGCAGGGCUGCGGCCGGCGGGAGGACCAGAUGACGGCGGGGACGAGGGGACGGCGAGGCGGCGCCCAUGGCCGGCGGGCUGGAGCCGACCUCCAUGGCAGCGGCAAGAACCUCUCAUGGCGAGCAAGAAGAGAGGCGAGCAGGGGAUGGCGGCGCGGGGAAAUCGCCGGAGGCGCGACUGACGGGGCCGACGUGGUCACAACGAGGCAACUCCGACGAGCGGCCAGCCGGAGGUGAGGCGCGGGGUCGGUGGCGCUGGACCAAGGGGGUUGUGGCUCGGUGCCAUGGGAAGGAGCCCGGGGCGGCGGUGUCCGAUCCGGCUCGCGCGGGCCAGCGGCGGCGCCAGAUGGGCUUGGCGGGCCACGCACGGGCUCGGGCGGGCCUGGCGGCUCGGAGGGAGACAGGGGAGAGAGGAGCUGCGGCUGGGGUUGGUGGGGCGCGGAAAACGAGGUAGAUGGCUAGGGUUUGAUGUCUAAAAUGCAUGGGGAGGUCUAUUUAUAGACAAAGGGGGGCUAGGUUUAGCGGAAUUUCGCCCUGGUUUCAACCGUGCGGUCGGAUUCGAAUGAUUCCGAAUGCGGGAACGGAUACGUGGCCAUGUGGAGUGGUUAUCUGGAGACGAGAGGGAGAACGGGCGGCGUGGCAACAAUUUUUAAAACACCGACAGACGUCCGACGAUAGACCGAAUACGGUGCCGCUACGGUCGACCGUUCGGGUACGAGACGGACUCCGAUCGCGACGAAAAUUUGAGAGGCGGAUUAGCUAUAUUAAAAUAAGACCGCACGUCAAAUUCCAACCCAAUCAGAGAAAGUCUUACGCACACUUUUAAAACAGGGUUUCGACGAUGCCGCGGGCGCGUGCGUGUGUGAACGGGUUCAGAACGAACAACGACGAGAACCGGCAACUAACAACGGAUGCAUGUUUUGAAAACUGGCAGCAACGGGGUGCCGAUGCAAUGCAGAUGAUGCACAUGAUGCGAUGAUGAUGCGACAAAUAAAAUAAGACACGCGACGAAAACGGAAUAGAAGGGGAAUCUUCUGGAACGUCGGCAUCGGGCUGUCACACAACACCACACCCACACACAAAGCACAUCUCCGCUGACCCGCACACCUCCAACAAAGUCACCGUGCCAUGACCAAGAAGGAUCCACCACCAUCAUCGCCGCCGGGGAAACGCCGACAAGCCGAAACCAUCCAGAUCCGGCAACUCACCACCGCUUUGAACAUGCUCUACGAUAAACACGCUUCGAGCUAUGCAUCCUCAAGAUCUUUAUGUAAGUUUAAUGCAUAAAAGUCAGCACAGCCAAUUGGAACACAUUUGAAAAUAUAACUUAUUAUGCAAAUUGAUAAAAACCAAAGUACAAAGAUUAAAAAGAGGAAAAGAACUGAGAAGGAAAAGGGAAGAACCUGAAAAGAAAAACUAGAACAUGAAUGAAAAAGUCAGAGAAAAUAAAACUAGAGAAAAAUGUAAAAAAAUUAAAAGGGUAGUGGAGCAUCCAUCUCCUUUGAAAAGCUAUGUUUUUUUGUCUUCAAACGAUGCCACGACCGGCCCACCUCCUCUUCGGUGGCCCUAGGGCCAUGAUGGCGCGAUGGAUCGUGACUCUUUGCGUGUGAGAGAGCUUCGUUUUUAAAUGUUUUUUUGGUUUUGUUAGGAUUUGUGUCCUGUUUAGAAAGUCGAGACGAUAGCGGCUUCCUGAAGAUGGAAUACGGUCGUCCCUUCCUAGCCCUCGUUUAGAUGAUGGCUCUAGCAUCAUCGGAUUGUGUGUGGAGUAGUGCCUUCGACGGAUCUUGCAAAAUUCGAUCGGUGAUUGUCUUUUGUGGAUGUGGUUGGAUCCGGUCUUCAUUCGUCGAUGUUCGUGUGCCGUCAGAUUGGAUCCUUCCUAUCUAUGUGUCUCUUCAUGUGUGAUGGAUGUUGUUCUGUUGCGCUAUUCCUAUCGGGCCUUAACACUUUUUGACUGUCCACUACAACAAGUUUUACUCGACUCCGACGAGGGACGGUCGAUGACAUCGACGCACCUUCGGCUCUUGUAAUUGUUGUUAGGUGGUCUUCGUAUCUUAGAUGAUUUUUUUUUCUGGUGUUUGGUGUACCACCCAUGAUUGAAGAUGAAUGAAUCAGAAGUUUGCCCAAAAAAAAAACAUAUCACAUUUUCCUGCUGUUGGGCUGUGCGGCUCUGGCCCGUGAACCUCGCCACUGGGCCAGCCUCCCCCCCCCCCCCNNNNNNNNNNNNNNNNNNNNNNNNNNNNNNNNNNNNNNNNNNNNNNNNNNNNNNNNNNNNNNNNNNNNNNNNNNNNNNNNNNNNNNNNNNNNNNNNNNNNNNNNNNNNNNNNNNNNNNNNNNNNNNNNNNNNNNNNNNNNNNNNNNNCCCCCCCCCCCCCUCUCUCUCUCUCUCUCUCUCUGUCGCCGCGUGAUGCACUGGACCUCGGCAGCGGCGAACGGCGGCCACCGCCACCUCUUCUCACAGCAGCCGCGCAGUGAGAAAAGGUCAGUGAGCACCUCCCCCCGCCACCCCCUGGUCACGCCUACCUGCACAGGCUGACUGCGCGGUGUGCUGCGUGGUAUUCGUGGUUGGGGAAUCGGGAUGCUGCCCUCCAUGAUAGUACUACUCAUCGCAGAUCCCCCAACCGCUCAAGGAUUGGCCAAGUCGAGCUCACGCGUCUUGUAGGACAGAACCAAUCGAAGCAAACUCUUCAAUUUAGAAACCCAAAUGCCAUAGCAGGGCCAGUUUGUUGGCCUGACGUUGAUUGUUCAGACCCGGGCCUGCUACGGGCCCUAACAUUUGGGGGAAAAUUCCGGUGCCCUCUCAGUUGUUCUCGGUAUUUUGUUUUCCAUUCUACUAAGUGCUGCUUAAGAAACGUGUACUCAGUACUCCGGUGUGAAGUUUUGUGUGCGAUAUGGUUCAUGUCUGUUCUGGCCUUCUAUUGAGUUUGAGUAGAUGCCGUCGAAUCCUAUCAAUGUCCUGGCGUUCUCCACCUCGGUUCAGCUCCAUAUAUGNNNNNNNNNNNNNNNNNNNNNNNNNNNNNNNNNNNNNNNNNNNNNNNNNNNNNNNNNNNNNNNNNNNNNNNNNNNNNNNNNNNNNNNNNNNNNNNNNNNNNNNNNNNNNNNNNNNNNNNNNNNNNNNNNNNNNNNNNNNNNNNNNNNNNNNNNNNNNNNNNNNNNNNNNNNNNNNNNNNNNNNNNNNNNNNNNNNNNNNNNNNNNNNNNNNNNCAUAUAUGGAGCUGAACUGAGGUGGAGAAUGCAAGACAUUGUUAGGAUUCGACAAUGGUUUGCAAUUGUUUACUACCAUAGCAAUGUUAUAGUUUCAGAAAAAAGGAAAGAAAUAAUGGACUACACAUUUUUUCAAGUGUUGUGUAGUACAUUGCCGUGCUUUUAAAUACUGUUUAGAAACAUGUGAUGUAUACUUCCCGUGCUCUUUACAUUGCCGAUGUGAAGUUUGCUGCGUGAUGUGGUUCAUCUAUAGUUUUAAAUAGCCGGCUAUAGCCCCGCUAUAGCCUUUUCAGUAGGGUGCCGCUAAAUGGUGUCACGUACAAAUAUGCCGCUAUAGCCCGAUAUAGCCCGCUAUAACUCCGCUAUAGCUGAUUUUCAGGCCUGCCGCUAUUUACCAUAGCCCGCUAUUUAAAACAUUAAUCAUCUUGCCUUGUAUAGUUGUAUUGAGCAAGCGAUACUUCUCUAAAAGGACAUUUUCCCCAACGUAACUGAAUCCUAGUAACGUGUUAGGAUUUUCCGCUUCAACUCUCCACUCAUGUGGAAUUUUUAAGGAGUAUGCCGGAUAUGAAAUGAGUACCUGCUCAUAAUUUCACGCUUGUUUACCAUGAUACAUAAUAGUUUGAGAAAGUGAAGGAGAGGAAUGAAUUAAAACUUUACUCUGUUAGCAUCCAAGCAAAAGGAGCAUAAGAAUAGUCAGUAAUUAGUCAGUCUGCCAUGUGCACUGGACUACAAGAUAGUAAUUGUCUAAUAACUUUCUAUCUUAACUGAAUUUUGCGUCUGCAGUUUGGUGUCUAUACUUUCAAGCAAGGAGAC